rnacentral:rRNA from 1 species
UGUAGUGUGAAUGAUGAUGCAUACAUGUCAACUAUGGGUGUUGGCUCGAACAAUUCGCAUUGGUAUCAAACCAAUGACAUGCAUUUUGAAGACCAUGAGUUCGAGGUGGACGAGGAUGGUGAGGGCAUUGUCGACGCACCGAAAGGAAGAGCAGGCAAUUACACCAACGCCGAAGACAUCUUACUAUGCAAUACUUGGUUGCAAGUGUCAAGGGAUCUAUCCGUUGAAGGUGAUCAAAGUAGAGAUGCUUAUUGUCUCUGA